rnacentral:misc_RNA from 1 species
ACAAAGCAGAUUGUGAGCAGCACAAAUGAAGAGGAUAAGGUUAUCGUCUUUGAGCGUGGGGAUCUGGUUUUUGUAUUCAAUUUUCAUCCGGAGAAUACAUAUGAUGGGUACAAGGUUGGGUGUGACUUGCCAGGAAAGUAUAGAGUUGCAUUGGAUAGUGAUGAUUGGGAAUUUGGUGGACUUGGAAGAGUGGGCCAUGAUGUGGACCAUU